GUAACACGUGUGCAACCAACCCCGUACCGGGAGAUAACCCGCGGAAACGUGGACUAACACCCCAUAACACCUUUCCCCCGCAUGGGGGAGAGUUUAAAAUCACGAUGGUACGGGACGGGCACGCGCGACAUUAGGUAGUUGGCGGGGUAACGGCCCACCAAGCCGACGAUGUCUAGGGGUUCUGAGAGGAAGGUCCCCCACACUGGAACUGAGACACGGUCCAGACUCCUACGGGAGGCAGCAGUGAGGAAUAUUGGUCAAUGGGCGAGAGUCUGAACCAGCCAAGUCGCGUGAGGGAAGAAUGGUCUAUGGCCUGUAAACCUCUUUUGUCAAGGAAGAAUAAGCGGCACGAGUGCCACCUUGCCAGUACUUGACGAAUAAGCAUCGGCUAACUCCGUGCCAGCAGCCGCGGUAAUACGGGGGAUGCGAGCGUUAUCCGGAUUUAUUGGGUUUAAAGGGCGCGUAGGCGGGACGUCAAGUCAGCGGUAAAAGACUGCAGCUAAACUGUAGCACGCCGUUGAAACUGUCGACCUGGAGACGAGACGAGGGAGGCGGAACAAGUGAAGUAGCGGUGAAAUGCAUAGAUAUCACUUGGAACCCCGAUAGCGAAGGCAGCUUCCCAGGCUCGAUCUGACGCUGAUGCGCGAGAGCGUGGGUAGCGAACAGGAUUAGAUACCCUGGUAGUCCACGCCGUAAACGAUGCUCACUGGAUCUUGGCGAUACACGGCCAGGGUUCAAGCGAAAGUAUUAAGUGAGCCACCUGGGGAGUACGUCGGCAACGAUGAAACUCAAAGGAAUUGACGGGGGCCCGCACAAGCGGAGGAACAUGUGGUUUAAUUCGAUGAUACGCGAGGAACCUUACCCGGGUUUAAAUGCAGGUUGCAUGAGGUGGAAACACCUCUUUCCCUCGGGACUACCUGCAAGGUGCUGCAUGGUUGUCGUCAGCUCGUGCCGUGAGGUGUCGGGUUAAGUCCCAUAACGAGCGCAACCCCUAUCGCCAGUUGCCAUCGGUUCAAGCCGGGCACUCUGUCGAGACUGCCACCGUAAGGUGCGAGGAAGGCGGGGAUGACGUCAAAUCAGCACGGCCCUUACACCCGGGGCGACACACGUGUUACAAUGGCCGGUACAGAGGGCAGCCACGGGGCGACCCGGAGCGAAUCUCUAAAGCCGGUCGUAGUUCGGACUGGAGUCUGCAACCCGACUCCACGAAGUUGGAUUCGCUAGUAAUCGCGCAUCA
rnacentral:rRNA from 1 species